UGCCCAGCAACUCAUACCCCUACCCCCUCACGGUCCUGGCCGGGGUACGAGUAACCUUAGGGAAGAUCGGGUAGCCAACCCCGGUGGGAACUCUGGUCGUAUGCUGACAGGGCAAG
rnacentral:ribozyme from 1 species